AUAUUGAGAUAGCCAUGCACGUCUAGUACAAACUAGAUGAUGGUGAAACUGCAAUGGCUCAUUACACGGUUAUGAUGUACCCGGGAGUUCCGAUGGAUAUUUCCAGUAACACUAGAACUAAUACAUGUCCCUGCGUUUAUUAGUUUCGCACAGUCCGUCGCUGAGUCAUGGUAAACAGUUGAUCGACUCGACGUCCCGGAACAGUUUCCGCCCCAUCAGCUUCGAUGGUUGGGUAUUGGCCUACCAUUGCAACAACGGGUAACGAGGAAUUAGGGUUUGAUUUCGGAGAGGGAGCCUGAGAAACGGCUACCACAUCUACGGAUGGCAGCAGGCGCGCAAAUUACCCAAUGCAGACACUGUGAGGUAGUGACGAGAAAUAAUAAAGCGGGACUUCUGUUUCGCUAUUAUAAUGAGGAAUAACCAAAGGUCAUUCCGAUUAGCAACUGAUGGGAAAGUCUGGUGCCAGCAGCCGCGGUAAUACCAGCGUCAGUAGCAUAUAU
rnacentral:rRNA from 1 species